CGAAGACGUUGAAAAUCAAAACAAAAUUUGCUUCGAAGAAAUUCAAUUUUUUCCCAUUGUUUCUCAAACUAAUGUUUAUGGCUUAACUACAUUUAAGGACAGAAGCAAUGGAUGUAAUAAAGUGUUGUUAGCUUGCCUUAAAGGAAAUAUAUUGAGCAUAUGUUCUCCCGAGAGUGCAAGACCUUGUCAUUUAUCAUCUGCGAAUGUACCUCUCAAAAAUUUACAAGGU